rnacentral:misc_RNA from 1 species
AAAAAAAGUUCAAUUCAGUGUUGUCAAUUUAGGUAUAUUUCAUAAAACUUAUUUAGAAUUAAAUGGGCAUUUUUAAAAUUUUGUGAAAAAUCUGCGUGGUAAUGGCUGAAAAUACCAUUAAACAGUUCUUCUAACCUGUGAAAAUUAAUUCAUAAAAAUAUGUCUUCUACAAUUCAACACGAUCAAACUCAAUCAACAUCAAAUCAUCUUAUUUCGUUUUCGGCAAAUUUCAUUAUAAAGGAAAUAAUUCCCUUUUUACAAGACUAAAAAAAAAUUUAAAUGUUUACACUCAUUGAAGUAAUAAAAUUAAUGAUUACAAAAAAAAUUUUCGAACUAUUAAA